CGGCAAACGCUGGAGUUCUUGAGACUCUUGAGGAAAGUCCAUGCUCUCACAGACUGCGAUGUCUGUAGUGUUCGUGUCUAGGGAAAAAAUAACCUAGAGUAGCUUAGGCUAACGGCGGAUUAAUUUCCUAAGUCUAUGAUAUGGAAAAAUCUGUAAAGUGCCGCAGUGACGAUGUCUUUGGAAACAAAGAAGUGAAACGAGGUAAACCCCGCGAGAGAGAAAUCCAAAAUUGGUAGGAGAGUUCUAACAAAAGAAAUGAAUGGAGUUAGGGACCGAGUAAUCGGUAGAUAGAUGUUUGUCGCCUUAAUAGGUACAGAACAUGGCUUAU
rnacentral:RNase_P_RNA from 1 species